rnacentral:rRNA from 1 species
AAAGCGUGCGCAGGCGGUUAUACAAGACAGGCGUGAAAUCCCCGGGCUUAACCUGGGAAUGGCGUCUGUGACUGUAUGACUAGAGUGUGUCAGAGGGGGGUAGAAUUCCACGUGUAGCAGUGAAAUGCGUAGAUAUGCGGAGGAACACCGAUGGCGAAGGCAAUCCCCUGGACCUGUACUGACGCUCAUGCACGAAAGCGUGGGGAGCAAACAGGAUUAGAUACCCGGGU